rnacentral:rRNA from 1 species
AGGAUGAACGCUGGCGGCGUGCUUAACACAUGCAAGUCGAACGGUGAAAGAGAAGCUUGCUUCUCUGGAUCAGUGGCGAACGGGUGAGUAACACGUGAGUAACCUGCCCUUGACUCUGGGAUAAGCACUGGAAACGGUGUCUAAUACCGGAUACGAGCUUCAGCCGCAUGGCUAGGAGCUGGAAAGAAUUUCGGUCAAGGAUGGACUCGCGGCCUAUCAGCUAGUGUGAGGUAACGCCCACCAAGGCGACGACGGGUAGCCGGCCUGAGGAGGGUCGACCGGCCACGACGUGGACUGGAGACACGGCCCAGACUCCGUACGGGAGGCAGCAGGUAGGGGAAUAUUAGCAACAAGUGGGCGAC